GCACAACAAGAAGAUAAGGCGGAUCAGAAAACCUGGAACUUGUGAAAUUGAAACCAAUUUGGUGGGAUUCAUAUAUUAUUUAGUCCACAUUCUACACAAGAUUCAUUUCAGCAUUUAACACUCAUCUAAAAAGACGGGGUACAUAGGCAUGCGAAAGAGAAGUAACAAAUGAUGAAUGGGUAGGACCAAGUUAACUUAGACAUAGACAACAUUUUAUCCAAAUACUUAGUCAAUAACGUCCCCCCGGAAGGCACUCAUAAGAUGAUAGUUAAAGGAAGAUUGUUUCAUACCUCAUAUAUGAAAUUACUAUUACUCUUAUAAUUUCAAGAAGACCAGUUUUUAAGGAACUUAUCCAUACCUGAUUUUCGAUAUAUGUGGUUAU
rnacentral:misc_RNA from 1 species